AUGAGCCCGGGUGCAGAUUCGCCGCACUCCCUUCUCAUCCCGUUUCUCUUCUUUGUGCCGCCGCCUGCGCUUGCCCCCUUCAUCUCCGCCGCCUCGUCUCCUCCUCCUUCACCACCACCCCCUCCCCUGCCUCCGCACCCCAAGGUGGAGGAGUUCCCCAAGGCCAUUGUGUGGCUGCUGCUCAAGACAAGCUCGCCCGGGUCACCGUGGCCGGCGCCGGCGAAGGUGGAAGGCGGAGGUGUCAUGAACAAGGACACCAUGGCCGCCUUCACCGAAAGCGCCCACAUCUUCAUCCACUGCCUCUCCACCACAUUGGUUGAUGCAAAAACUGCAACUAGAGGCCUUGUUGAUUGUACCCAAAUGACAUCUCUAGGUUUCAUAAUUUAUCGAAGAUUGCAGGGUAACUAA
rnacentral:rRNA from 1 species